GAAUACCAGUCUCCUGGCGGCGGCUGGCACAGCGGAGCUGCUCUCCAAGCAGCGGGGUUCCCAGGCUGGGAAGUUUGCAUUGCCGUUUCUUUGCGGGCGGGCGGCGAGCGCCGACUGCAUGCCACCUGCGAGAGGAAGAGGCCGGUAGGUGAACCCGCAGUGACACUUGCGCAGGGGACGGACCAGCUCUGCGCGCUCUGGGAUUAAGUCAGGGGUUGCUACUUCCAGCCCAAGCUUGGUACCUCGCCUCGGGCAUUUUCUUGCAGCUAGAAGGGACGCAUGCCUCUGGCAUAAAUCCAACCAGAGAGUCACCCCUCUCAAGCUAGAUUUUUUAAAAAUCUAGAUAUUAUUUAGAUCAUUUCAGCAAAUUCUUAAUGCUUUGGCCUUUCACAGUAAGAUGUUGCUUAAUCGGCUGGAUCUCCCCACUCCUUGCCAAGGAGACUCAAUUUUGCAGUUGCCCAUAUCUGCCUAGUUAAAUCGUUGCUAUACUAAAGGUUCUGGGAGGGUGGGGACAGAAUUUCCCCGGUGCUAAUGCGGCACUGAAUCGCAGGAGGCUGCCCAUGCAUUUCUUCAGUCAUCUACAACCAAGAAUUCUCAGAGCAGUCCCUCGGCAGCCUUUUGAAGCUGUGCUAGAGCAGAAAGCUGCUAUUGUUCUCAUCUCUCAACAAGGAAAGGUUCAAACUUUGCCUCUUCAAUUUGAAAGAUUUUUUUUUUAUGGUGGUGGGGGGAGGGAUUGCAAUCUGAUACUCAAAGUUAACUUUGAGGAUUUGGAGUGGUCUCCCAGUUUAAGCUGCAGAUCAAAUCACAGAUGCCCUAACGCCUGCAUCUCAAGUCGGGGGCACUUCAUCAUUAAUACGGUGGAGUAGUCAAUCACAAGCAAUUACAACGUGGGUAACCUAGCCUGGUGACCGAGCUAGUUUACUUUCCAAGGAAGUGGGACCAUUUCCUCAACUGGAAUCCUUGAAUUAAUUUUAAACUUAAACUUCCAAAUUGGAUCAGUAUACAAUACUGGUUGUAGAACUAGGAGGAAUUUUUAAAAAUCUCAUCUAAUUCUCCCUCAUUUGGUGGGAGGAGGAAACAGCAUUUGUAUGAUAUGUAUCCUGCCUGCACAAUGCUGUGAGCUUCAGUAGAUGCUCAAUAAAUGCUCAUUGAUGUUGGGUGGUAGAGUGGAAUUGUGUGUACCAAUGUCAUCAGCGUAUGACUGGUGCCACAGAGCACACAAAUGUAGUAGGAAGUCAGAGAGGAUUGGUGAGGACUGGGGUGGUCAAAGGAGGCUUUAUCAAGGAGCUGGGGUUUGGAGGAGACUUUAAGGACCUACAGAAUUUUAACUUUAGUUAAUUUUAGUGCAAAGAAAGGAAGAAGGUGAAGGGGAAAGGGACAGUAGAAGAAAGAGAAUUCCACUUCAGUGAAAAGUUGAACAACGAUGAAGUUUUGGGUCUUUGAUCUGUUGGUGUGGACAUGGUGGGGCCAGAUUAGAGAAGUCAGAACACGGAGUUUGCCCCCAUGCUGUAUACAUUAUAGUAGGAACUUCUUCUGAGCAGGUAAAUAACGUGAGUUCAAUUCCAUGUCUGAAAGCUUCUUCCCUAGAAGGAUUGGCUUGCAGAGUCUGGAAGGAUAGAUGCAAAUGCAGUUACCUAGGUGUGGGAUGGUGAAAGUUUUGAUUGGGAACUGGUGGUAGUAGUGAAAGGAUGACUCAGCAUUUUAAAGGGGAAAAAGAGCAAAAUUUGGUGACAGGUUGGAAUAAGACAUUAAAUAAAGGGGACACUCAAAAGGACUUCUCUUUUGAGCAAAUGGUGCUGGGGCAACUGCAUAUCUACAUGUAAAACAAUGAAAUUGGACCCUUUCCUUACAACACACACACAAAUUAACUCCAAUCAUAGAUUUAAAUGUAAGAGUUAAACUCUGAAGCACUUAGAAGAAAACAAAGGAGGCUGGGUGUGGUGGCUCACACCUGUAAUCCCAGCACUUUGGGAGGCCGAAUCACAAGGUCAGGAGUUCGAGACCAGCCUGGCCAACAUGGUGAAACUCUGUCUCUACUAAAAAUACAAAAAAUUAGCUGGGCAUAGUGGCGGAUGCCUGUAAUCCCAGCUACUCAGGAGGCUGAGGCAGGAGAAUCGCUUGAACCUGGGAGGCGGAGGUUGCUGUAAGCCAAGAUCAUGCCACUGCACUACAGCCCGGGUGACAGAGUGAGACUCCAUCUCAAAAAAAAAAAGGAGUAAUCCUCAUGACCUUAGUUAGGCAAAACCUUCUUAGAUGUGACACCAAAAACACAAAUCAUAAAAGAAAAAAUGUUCAAUUGAACUUCACCACAUUUAAAACUUUUGUGCUUUAAUGAACACUGUCAAGAAAGUGAAGACAACUCACAGAAUUGGAGAAAUCAUUUGCAAAUUAUAUAUCUAAUAAAGGAGCCCUUGCAACUCAACAGUAAAAAGACAACCCAAUUUAAAACCGGAUAAAGGAUUUGGAUAAACAUUUUCCCAAGGAAGAUAUACAAAUGGCCAAUAAACACAUGAAAAGAAACCCAACAUCAUUAUAGCCAUCACUGAAAAGCAAAUUAAAACCACAGUGAGAGGAACCCCUUCACACCUACUAGGAUGACUAGAUUAUAGAAAAGAUAGUAAGUAUUGGUAAGGAUGUGGAGAACUGGAACCCUUAUACAUUGCUAAUAGGAAUGUAAAAUGGUACAGAAAACAAUUGAAAAACAAUGUGGCAAUUCCUCCAAAUGUUGAAGAUGGAAUUAUAAUUCUACUGCUAGGUAGAUACAAAGAGAAUGGAAAAUACACAUCCACAUAAAGACUUGUACAUGAAUGUUCAUAGCAGCAUUAUUCAUAGUAGCCAAAAGUUGGAAACCUAGAUGUCCAUCUCCUGAUAAAUGGAUCAUAUCUGAUAAUCUAUGUAAAGGAAUAUUAUUCAGCUAUAAAAAGGGAUGAAGUACCGAUACAUGUUACAAUAUGGAUGAACCUUGAAAACAUGCUAAAGGAAGCCAGUCACAAAAGUCACCUAUUGUAUGUUUCCAUGUAUAUGAAAUGUCUAGAAUAGAAAAAUCCA
rnacentral:lncRNA from 1 species